GGAGGAAGCAGGGGAUCGCAAGACCUUGCGCUGAUUGAGCGGCCGAUAUCAGAUUAGCUAGUUGGUGAGGUAAAAGCUCACCAAGGCGACGAUCUGUAGCGGGUCUGAGAGGAUGAUCCGCCACACUGGAACUGAGACACGGUCCAGACUCCUACGGGAGGCAGCAGUGGGGAAUUUUGGACAAUGGGGGCAACCCUGAUCCAGCCAUGCCGCGUGAGUGAAGAAGGCCUUCGGGUUGUAAAGCUCUUUCAGCCGGGAAGAAAAUGCAUGGGUUAAUACCCUGUGCAGAUGACGGUACCGGAAUAAGAAGCACCGGCUAACUACGUGCCAGCAGCCGCGGUAAUACGUAGGGUGCGAGCGUUAAUCGGAAUUACUGGGCGUAAAGCGUGCGCAGGCGGUUUUGUAAGACAGGCGUGAAAUCCCCGGGCUUAACCUGGGAACUGCGUUUGAAACUACAAAGCUAG
rnacentral:rRNA from 1 species